AGUUUUCAGAGAACCAGUCGUUCUAGGCAAGCUAUUUGACAAGCAUCAGAAGCUCUCGGCUACUGUCUAAAACAAUCUUCAAGGCUUUUAUUUGAGAAGUUGCCCACCUUAUAUUAAGUUGCAGUAGAGUGACAAUUUUUCUUCAGCUGCAUUCCAGGAAGCCAGAGAGAGCCUCUUGUGACUGAAAGCUGCUGGAACAGCUGGAUCCAAAACAGCCAUACAGCACAUGGCUGUUUAUCUCAAAUUGUUAAGCGCUGACAGAGGUACAGCAACAUCUCGGAAGUGGAAGCAGCACCUGACUGAAGAUGCAGCGUAUUGUGCAACUCGGUUAAUCUGUCUUUUGAACAAAUGACACAGCAAGUCUCAGUGCAUUCUCAGCCUGUGCUGCUUUAUUGCUAAAAAAAUUUGUAUACAGGUGCAGAGUUUCCAAGUUCAUUUUUAAACAGUUCCUCUUUACAGCGUCAAAAGAAUAAAAUCUUAUCUUGAAAUCCUCAAAGAUGCAUAGAUAUAAAAGCAAGCUGCCUUUUGGAAAAAACAUCAGAAUUUGCAGGGAAACAUUCUUUUACUGUUACCAUGUAAAACACGUGCAAUGCGAGCACACAGAUCCUAGCGACACCGGUAAUUGUCUCCACUAACCCACGUGAGUAAUGCCAUCAGAAGUUCAGUGUAAGAAGUCUUCUCCAACCUGGUUUGUAAGUAUUGAGCUAUUUUCAAACAAUCUGUAAUUACUACUUCUCCUUCGCUGUUAGAUCAUGUUUCUCAAAAGGAAGAUAACUUCACUGAAGUCCUAAAGUAGCUUACUCCCCGGGUUUUCUAUUGGAGAGGAUAAGCACGAACAAUGGAUCCAAGUGCUUACUCAUCACACAAAAGAAAACACACAUAACAGUUUAAAACCAUGUGAAAUGUUCUAAAAAAAUACCCAACUCAGCAUUAGGUGGUCACAGUUAACUGCUGGGCUAAACUUGUUUUACCAAUUCCAUUUUGUCUUGAAGAAGUUGGCUCGAAGGAUUUCAUUUAAUCUAACUUCGGUACAGUAAAAUAGUUAAAUCUUCUCUUAUAAUAUUCCUAUAUUUAUUUGGCAAUUCUUGUAUAUCUAGAAAGCAUUUGUGAGAAAAACAUGGCCCCAUUCUAAACCCAAAUCAUGGAGCUUUAUGGAUGGUUGGCUACAAAGCAUGACCAGGAGUUAACUUGACACAAUUCCUUCCUCCGAGACACCACCCCUUUCUGCUUCAGAAAGAGGACCGAGCCCCUGUACACAGAGAAGUUUUCUGCACAAGUUAAGCCCACCUGCAAAAUUAAGCUAAGCUACAAGUAUGGAAUUCUGCAGUAACACGCUAGUAUUCUACUUGAAAAUAGGAAAAGCGUUGGUGACAUGGACUGUGCCACGUUCUACGUUAUUUUCAAACCACCAGCAGAAAUCCACUGCAUUAUUCACUAAAGGACUUGGGAGAUAUUACAGAAAGCAGAAUAAAAGUUUACAGAAAGAUGGCACCCAAGUUCCCUUUUAUUUAAUAAGUGAAAUAAAGAAAAAAAAAGAUUAUAUUGCAACCCGUGUUGCAGAAGAUAAAGACCUUCAGUGAUCAAAUCUCAUUUUCUGAUUUUAAAAAUCUCCUUUUCAAAGAACUUAAAAAAUAUACAAGAUUACCAGUAUUUUCAGUCUUCUCCAAAUAAUUUCUCUCACCACAGACAAGCUUAUUACCUACCGUCUGGCAAAUACUACACUCAUUUUGAGUCUGUUGCUUCUGUUACCAUUGUUCCCUUUUUUCCACCAGUUGCUCCCCCCUGCACCAUGUAAGAAACUCUGCACCCUUUUCUUUGCUACAGCUGCAGCAGGUGAGAAACCUCAUCUCGCCCCUAAACAUGCUUAGUUCAUGCCCUGCUUUAUACAUGCUCAGGGCACUAAUACGAACCAGACAAGAGGUUAUGAAGGCGAGUUCUGCUGAUCCUGGUUCCUGAUUUACAGUUUUGGUGCCAUGCUUCUGACCCUAUCUAUACAUUCUGCCUCCUUCUCUACAGAGGCAGCACAUUCUCUAAAAACAAAAACAAAACAAUCCCAAAAUUUGAGAAUCAAAGCAGGAAGUUCAAGCUAUUGGUAUAUAAUUUCCUAUUGCUUCAUUAUGUAUAAAUGCAUAUCUCCAUUUACUGGUAAUAACUACAUUACACUAGACAUUGUGAAUCAUGCAUAAUUAGAAUACUAGCUCUAAGAUUUGGUUUGUGGGCCUGUGCCAUUUUCCUUCAGUUUCUCCAUGCAGUUCUUCAUGCCUAAGGCAUCACAAACCAGACGCCUUUUAUUUGACCUGCAAACGUGCUCAUUUGGAGGGGAAGAGGAGAAGCAGACAAGACUUACACGGGACACGCUAAACAGUAAGUUACCUUUUAUCCUGAACCUCAGAUGUCGUAAAGCCUUGGGAAAUCUGUCUACAUUACAACCUGGUACGUAGGCUCAGAGACAGAGACACACUCCUUGCUUAUGUCAAGUACACCUACACAUUCUGGAAACUCAGGAGAAAGUGCAGAGCAGAAUGAAAGGGAACAAAUUAUGGUAGUGUUCUGCACUGUCAAAUGAGACACCCUGGUUUGACUGCUGGCUUUUGUGUGCCAAACAAAGUGCUACAGGGGCAAUAUGCUGGAUUGUUCAGUAAAAGAAAAGCAAUGGAAUCCAACUUGAACUGCCAUUAUGCAGCUCUGUACCCGAACAGCAAGCUGGAUUAAGCUCUGAAGGAAGACCAGACUCCUUACUAGAGACGCAGUUAUUUCUAUUUCUGGUAAUCCAUCAAAAAACAUUCUCUUCCAUACUUUUCCAUUUUCUGCUCAAAAACAUACUGCCAGCUCUUGUUAACAUAACCCUCGUAUAACAUGUCAGCGCCCUAAAGCACACUGCAGUUUGUUCUCACUCACUAUCAAGUAGCCUUUGCAAGCCUUUUAUUUUUGCCCUACGUUUGACAAUUACGCUCAGCUGCAGAAGGUGCCAUUUGUCAAGUUGCAGCUCCCAACACAAGCACUGGCUAGACCUACUGCAGCAGCACCACUGGGUAAGGAACGGGAUUUACAUGGAGCUUCUGGGGUUACUACCGCUAAAUGGGUGGUCUCCGUAAUGAUGUCAGUGGUGGGCACUACACUUUUCAUAUCCCACAGUGUCGUAGCAUACAACACUGCUACUUAGUUUUAGAAGCAGCGAAACCAAGGAGUUUAGUUUGGAACAAAAAUCAUGCCGUAACACAGCAACUGAAAGGCAAUGGAAUUUCCUUCGCAGCUGUGAAAACUGAUUUCCAGGAUAGUAUAUACUGACGUCUGAACUGAGAAGAAUAUGCAGAUAGCUUGCCUAGCUACAAGUCUUGAUUUCCUCCCCUCCUCUAAAUUAAUGAGACCUUGAAAAUUUCUGUUCUGCCACAAAGUUCAGAAGCAUGAAGUUUAAACAUGACCAUGUUUUCAUUAUUAAUUUGUUGUCAUGUAAACAUAUUUGCCAAUCACAUGAAAUCUGUGAUUUUUUUAAUGUAGUUGGAUCCCAAAGCUCCCAGUUUUAUCAAUAAUUCACUAGCUGGAAUUUAAGCUGAUUGUAGCUUCCCCAAUCAGUUAGCUUUUCAUGCACAUUGUUUGAACCCAUUUAGACGUGUUUAUGGGUAUUUUGGUUACUUUAUACCAUAAGAACAUUCACAGCCCUUAACAACCCCAACUACCAACUUAUGAAGAGCCAAAAGGCUUCACCCUAUGUCACCUCAGAACAUUCAAAGCCUCCCUUCAGCUGGCAAUUGCAUUCCAAAUUACUUCAGCUUUCUAGAAGAAAUCCAGCCAGAUAGAUCUAAGCUUCUGACGCAAUAAUUCUGUUCAGAAUACAGUACCAUCUGUGGGCCAUAUAGUCUCCACAGACUUCCGUAUCUGCACUGAAAUCAGAGUCAGCUAUGGAUGCUUUGGAACUCCUGUGGCUCUUUUAUGUAACCCUUUGACAGCAAAUGUCUUGCUGGGUGCAGAGGCUACGGCUGUAGAUCAAUAUCCCUUUCUGUAACCAAAGGCUUCACGGUGCUUGCCUCAGCAAGACUUCAAGCACUAACAGAAAUCAAUGGUCUGGAACAGAAUGUUUAGCAAGUCUAAAAUUAUUUUUGCUGUAAAGUAACAUUUUUAGGAUCCUAAAAAUCUCCUUUGGGAUGUACAAAUACUCUCUAUUUUAUUUUUUAAGACCCGUCAUUCAUAUCAAGAUUGGUCUUUUUAAAAAGAAGUACCUACAGUAAAAUUCUAAUUUCAGAAACAGUUUCCUUCCGCAGUCCAGUAUUUGGAAGGGUCUCAUUUCCCUUUAGAGAAGCAGAGCAAGUGUAAGACUGUGAAAAAGAAAAAGAAACGGGGAAACUUCAGCUAUCUGAGAGAAUAUUUCAGAAAGAACUGCCUGCCCUUCCCCAGCACUCACUGACAGUGCUUCAGAUAUGUGACACAGCUCAAGAGUAGUAUAAGGUUAAUUAACUAAGUAUUCAAGUGCCAACCAAAUUCCCUCCAACGAGAGGAACACUAAGAGGAAUUCACCCAUCUUAGGAAAAGAGACUUUCACCCAACUCCCUGUAGCACAGAGCGCCACAAACUUAUUUGGUUAUUACCCACCUACUCUACUGUACAGCCUUGCUAAUGCAAGUUAUUUACUAUCACAUGCAAAACAGUUAUUGCUACUAAAGUUCUAUUUUCUUAUUAAAUCAUCUUAUGGCUUUGUUUGCAUCAGGGAUUCUUCCCCCUACAUACUGUGCUAUUUUGCAUUCCAGUUUCAGAGGUAUUUUUCAAUUGAUUCUCCCAAGCACUAAACUACUUUAUUCAAUGGUACAGCUACUUCUGUUCAGAAUUGAACCUAAAUGAGCACAAGUCCCCCAGAGCUCUGCUGUAAAUGGCCCAACCACCCAAUUUUCUUGGCAACGCAUUAGAUGCAGAGAGGUGGGGGGACGCUGUUAUCUACACUAACUCUGCAAGGAUUACUGGUUUUGCACCAAAGAACAUGCUACUUGAUUAAUUACUUUAGAGAUAUAUCCUAUUAAAAUUACAAAACCGAGCCACCCAUUCCAUCCCUCCUCCUAAUGGCCAUUUAGAGGCAUGUCUCAGGAAAAAUAAGAUGCAGUAUCCUCUCUAAACUGACGAGAGAACUUUGUUCUUGUAAAGAGAGAAGUGAGUGAAGAGCAACACUGGCACCAAAUAAAAGAGUUUUUUUCCCAAGGAAGUCAGAGGAUGCCAUCCACAGAGCACUACACACCUCAGGAAUCAUACCAAUCUCCUAUUUGACCAGCCCAAGCUGCCCACUGAGUGCUAAAUCAUUUCAACUUCCCCCAGUUUAAGUUUUCCUUCUGAAAAAAGCAGAGGGAGAGACGUAAGUUAUUAAAAUUGAGAUUAGCUGGAAAGCAAUGCUGGAAGUUACCCAAAAUACAAGAUACUGAAUCCUCAAUAGUACAGAGGUGGGGAAUCUAUGAUCUGUAGGCUAGAUAUUGCCUGCUGAACAGAUACAGGCUGCAAUGUUGUUUUUCAACAGCCCUUAACCUUAUUAUAUUCUCUCUUAUUAAGAUGUGUGUAAAUGCAGGAUCCACCAAAGGUGUUAAAAGAUUCAAUAGGACUUCAGAAAAAAAAACCUAACCAUUAUUAUAGGAAUUAAGUCUUUAUGUAAGAUUGGCAGAUAGCAUUUCGCAGCUAGUUACUAAAUAAGUGAAAGUAAUGUUUAACUGGUUAUUACAAUUACAUAAUCAGAUUUGAAAUGUAUGUAUGUUUUUAACUUAACAGAUUUUCUAAAUAAUAUUAAGGUAGCAGAGAGGUGCACAAAAUGCACACUAACUCUUCAGCAUAUUCAUAAUUCUGAUAAUAUCAUACGAUGGGUAGUAAUAAAACUGAAAAUGCUGCUCAUAGAAGAAAACACCUUCAACAAAGACUAAAAAGAAAAGAAUAACCUGUGACAGAGAUGAGAAUUCUGGAUGCUUACAUACACUACAAAGAUACGCUGAAAACAAAACAUUAAUGAUUCUAUGAAGCCCGUUCUAUUCCUAAAGAUAGCAUUAUCAUUGCCAAAGGGAGGAUACUGCAUACUUAGACCAUGUUUGUGACAUUUCUACUGUAUCCUUUCUAUUGUUAAUUACAUUAUCAUCACGGUUUAUUAAUAAAUUUGUCACUCUGAAAUUGUAAAAAUACUACUAGGCUCAUGCACUGAUCCUAACAUGGCACUACUGUUUGCUACAAAGCACUAAUGCUUAUGGAACUAUACACAUCUCAAAAUGGAAGACAUUGGUGAUUUUGUUGUUUUCAAACAACUUGUAACAUCAUUUUGUCCACAAGUAUUAAAAUAUAUAUAUGUAUAUAUAUAUGAUCUAUUGCACAUGCCCCUUGUUUCUGUCAUCUUUCACACAGGAAGAUUUCCAACCAACACAGAGAAAAAGUGGAGCAAGAAAAAGUAAGUAGGCUGAGGCAGCAUUUCCUAACAGCGGUUUUAUAGGAAGCCGCUGGAAAGGUAUGGCAGUGGGGUCUUCUGGGCACGCAUUAUUGGAGUAUUACUUCUGCGAAAGCCACAGAUCUUCAGCCCCGCUAAAAACGUUAUGUUCUAAGCUACAACUUGAAAACUAACGUUGUUCCAUUGCCGGGGUUAGAAGUCAGUUCUAUUUUUUUUGUUACAACGCAGGGUUACAAAAUGUUGAGGGUUAUUCUUACACAAGUGGCAACCAAAGGGCUGAAAGCGUCUACUCUCUAGUCAGAAAGGUCUUUAAGUUUUUGUUCAUAUCCACAGAAGAGGAAAAGUACAUUCCUGUCCCUCAAGUAUUUUGUUAUCAAGCUAUGCAAGAAAUCAACUGCUAGCUCUAAUGUCAGAAAGACAAGCAUGGGCAGAAGGAAGUAAAGGAAAUGCCAAGAUUCAAGAUCAGAUGAUUCCUAUACUAGACACCUUCCAACACAUAAUCCUAAGAUAUUAAUAGUAUUUUCCAUCAGAUAGAGAUGGAUCCUGCUUCUACAGACAUCUACUAUGCUAGAUGAUUCCUAUUGGUUUCAACAUAAGGAGGUUCUAAAUGAAAAGCGUGCUUCUCUAGACGCAUCUCGUACCAGAAAAUUCAGAUCACAUUCAGCAAAGAAAUCCCAUAUUCUUAAAAUAAAUCAAGCCAAGUUGGUGGUUGCCUCAACAGGAUUAAUAUAACUCAUCUAAACUAAUAAAAGGAACACAGUUCAUCACAAUAUUGCAUAUAAUUUAAGUGCACCUCUACUUGUUACAGUGGGCAUAAUUUUGAUACGCAGUGUCUUAACCACCCUGCUUAGCUUGCAUGUCUCCAUGAAGAUCAGACCAAAACAAACGGGAAGGGCUUUCAUUAAAUCUUAUUGUUACAAUGCAAGUCUAAACACAGAUCUAACGUUACCCCAAGGAACAGGAUCAGUACCAACAUCUGUCCUUCUGCUAUGGAAACUCGGUCCCCAUAACAUUUCACCACGUUUUAAGUUUCAGAAUACUGCCCUUGCAAUCUAUCAGUAAGAUUUAAGAAAGAUUUCAACUGUUGGCUCUUCCAGCCAUUUUCAGGCUGUCUGGCUCUCUCCAGUAGUUUUCUGAAACAAAAAAAAAACAAAACAAAACAAACACCCCACCACCUAACCAUGCCGUUAUUCCCCAAAACAUAGUGCUAGAACAUAUAUCCCUUAUUUGAUCCAAAUUUAAAAAUAUUUUAAGCUAAAUCAUUUUGUAAAUUGCAAGUUUGGAUUAAGGUGCACUAAGAGAUCCAGACUUGAAAUGGAGAUUAGUUUUUGCCAAGAAAUCUUACUUGCCAUAUAUAAUACCAUAGCAAGGAGCAUGUGAACAGUAUAAGAUCCCACCUGAAAAUGAUUGAAAAUAUCUUAUAUAAUCACAAACAAUGGAGACAGAGAACCCUGUGUAAACAUAAGAACAACAGAUAGCGCCUUAAUUUGGGAAGGAAUAAGAACCACCAGAAAAAGUCCCAACCCUAAGCAUUUUUACUCUCUCUCAACUCGUACCUCUUACAUGGCUGAGCUCAUUCUGGGCGGAGACGAUGGAAACAUACAAAUCAUCUCAGUUCUCAGUCACAAAAGAAUCAAAAAUCGGAUUCCAUCAGCGCUAUGAAAAAGCUGAAUCUGUGUCAUGGAAGCUGCAGGGCGUAAGCUGCAGCUUUAUACCUCAGGUCUCCUCCAUCUCACCAGAAGUUAAUUUCUUUAAUAAAGAAAGAAGUUCUGUCACAUCUUUUCAACUGUAGAAUGGUUUUGUUCCUUUUGCUGCUGAGGAUCCAUAAAAAGCCCAAAGGAGGGAAUGAUUAAUGUGAACUUAAUCAUUAUCUUGUAACCUUAGAGGUCUUUAAAGCUUCAUUUUUCUUUGCUAAAAAUGAAGUGGUGCAGAGUAAUUUCUUCUUCUGCUCAAAGUUCUUCAUAGCCAGAACUUAUGUGGGUUUAUACAUGCAAAUAUACAUUUUGAUCACAGAUUGGGAUGACGCUGUUACACACCACAGACAAGGUGAUUCUGCAUUUGUUCCUGUGCAUUAGCUGCUUUGUGUGAGUUAACAUCAAGAUAUUUAUCUACAGAGUCAAGUCAGGAUCCUGAACUACAAAAUACCUGUUAUGUGUGGGACUUCUCCAGUUGCUUGGCAAGUUUAUUCCUCAUAACAGAGCAGAAAGUAUGUCCUGGUUUCCUGCUGCAUACACGCCAAGGUUGACAGGGCAAUGCAUGCAGAUACUUUAUAGGCCAGGAAUUCCAAUAUGACAUACUGAAGAACUUAAUCUUCUGAAAAUGAGGAAGGUAUCAGUGAAGAACACCAGCUGCAUCCGAUUGCAAAGUUUUUUCUCAUUUUAAAACAGAGUGCAAAAAGCUGGAUGAAGGGCUGGCACUGAAGACAUUUCUUCAAGGAAACUAAUGCUGACUUCUGUUACUUUGUUUUUGAGUUCUGAUGAAACAGUAGGGUCCUUCUGUAGGAGAAGUAAUCUCAGGAAUCAAAUGUUGGGUGAGAUGGCUGACACUAGAAGGGAAGAGAUCUUUGUUCAUUCAGCUCCGUGGAAGUGAAGGACAGGGUUUUGCUCACUAGAACAGAAACAGCCUACAAGCAAGCAAAAGGACAACACCUUAAAUAUCAGGAGAGGAUCUGGAAUUCCAAAAUGAAAAGGAAGAGAGGUAGUUUAGGAAACAGAAUAAAAUGUACUUUACAUUAAUAUACUUGCUGGUUCAUCACUUAAAAAAAUCUUUUCUAAUGGACAAAAUUAGUUGGCUUCAGACUGCAAUGAUCCCUCGUUCUAUGAGAUUUUACAUCUCAUUCAGAUGUCCAUAAACUGGCUAAUGAUAUACUAUAGAAAUAAUGAACUAUGCACUUCGAAGCAGUACAUCCAAAAAUACGCCAGUGUUAAUACGCUAUGGGACUUCUCAACUGUGGCUCUGACAUAUGCUAUGAGAGCGUUGAGAUAGCAUCAGAAUGCACACAGACAGAAUAAAUUCUGCUAUAGCAGGUCACAAUUCAAAGAGACACUCUAAACUGUUACCUAAUUAACGACAAAACUGUCAGGGCUGUAGCGGAAAAAAGCACUUAUGACAGCUGUAAAAUCACACAGAUUAGGUGGGGUUUCUUUUCCCCACUCAUUUUCUCCACGCUUGUCCAUGGUGUAGACAUAGUUCAACAACUGCCAUCUUGUCACUGAUCUCCUGGCCUUUCUUCAGUGACACACCCAGAAUCACAUAGUCACAGAAGCUGUUAAAACACGGUUUUUUUGCUUUAAGGUUGAUGCCAGCCUGGAUUAGAAGGUAACAUGAGUACAAUCCUGCACUCUCCUGUAUAAUGAGAGAUGUGGAAAAAGGAAGCAUUUUUUUCUCUUUAGUUUCUUUCUCAGAUAUAAGAGCAUGAAGAUACAUCACAUUUUCUAACUUCUCCCAUCCCUCCCUUUUCCUCUGAUCUGUCCUUGUGUGUUUUUCUCAUAUUACUCUAAUUACCUUAAUCCUUUAGUUGUUCAGAAACAAUCUUCAGGUAAUAACUUUCAACUCCUAUGUUAGAAGUAGCGAGUAGACUGUGAAAAUGGCAAUACAGCACACCAUCAUCACCUUCUUAAUGAGGCACGCAAAUAUUUCAGCGGAUCAUGAGCUUGAGUAUCCAUGUCCACAACUGAUGGGAAAGUCUUAUUCUUGUCAUGAAGGUGAAGAAAAACAAACCUGGAGAGAUGCAAAAAACAUGCCAAAAAUUUGUGACAAAGCUGAGAAUGGAAUCUAACAGUCUGUUAUAUAUCUUAACUACCAGAAUAUGUCUACUUCAUUUACAGGGAAAAAUAAAUCAAAAUGCUACAAGUUGAUUGCCAUGCCCAGACAUUUUGAAUUUACUUCCUUUUACUUGAUAAUUGACAUUUGGUUACAUUACUGUUCUUCCAAUCCUUCUGUUUAACAAACCUACAUUUGAGAUAACUAGUCUAAGAUAAUGCAAUGACACAUGAUAACGCUGUCUCUUAGCAGAGUAAAAUGACAACAUGGAUCAUGUUCUUAAUAACUUAUUAAAGCAUUUAUUUCUGUUAGUGUAUACAUCAUUAAAUCAAGGUUUAUUCCAAGCAAAGCCCAAGUUGAAAUUGAUGCUGAGACAAAACUCCAGUUCUCUGAAAGGAUCCUAAGUUUUUCUUAAAAUCCCACUAACUGAUGUAUUCAAUAAGGGAAAAAAAGAAAGGAGGGGAAAGAGGGGAAGGAAGAGAAAGAAGGAAAGAAACAACAAGCCUGUUAAGCUUAGUGUUUUAUAUUUAGUACCUAAAUAAUCUUUUGGUUCACUCACCACUAUUUUUCAACACUCAACAUACUCUUCAGAGAAUCUAGAGAGAAAGAGAUGAAAAAAUUAAAUGAAAUUUGCAUCUAGCAAGCUAUUCAGAUAAUAGAUUAUUAUUUGCACAAGACACAGAAGAUCAACUACAUCUUCAAGGAACUAGUUAACAUUUUUAGACAUGCUACAUUAAACAUGUUACUUUUCAGAUGAUUGCAGCUACCGCCUUCUUUCAGUCUAAGGGAAAGGAUGGUUAAGUGAGUCAGGGCUAAGUAUGGAAGGCCUGGGAUGGGAAACUUCAAUAGGAUGGAGUGGGAAGCACAUGCCCAAAACAUGCCUGAAAAGCUUUGCUUCAGAAACUGUUCUGCUUCCUGAAGUAGAACCGUGUGCAUCGUUCCUUCCACAGAAUGUAGUAUACGCAGUACUGAAGUACCUUCUCCCCUGGAAUCUGUUUUUACUGAUAACAGCCUACAGCCCAUAUUCAACUCAUUAUAUCUGGAGAAUUAAGUAUACACCAAUGCUCAAAUUAAUUGAUUGUUUUUUUUCAAAAUAUAUACAAGUUUAUAGUAAGCAAUAAGCAACAUGUGCCAAUUUCAUAGGAACUGAGGACGACACAACAAUUUCAGCCUCCAGUAAGGCAAGGAACUCCUGUGUUAACAUAAACCACUACAGCAAGGAAUCACAAUGCCUUUUCUCAAGGAUGCUGAGCCACCAGCUUAAAUUACAAGUGUACUGUAUUGCUCUGAGCACAUCUCUCAGAUCAUGAGAAACUACUGGUAGCCUCACCAAAGUAUCCCCGAGCUUUCACCCUCCUACACAACACUGUACCGCUGUAUUUCUGCAAGCAGCAGAGACCCACACCUCCAAAAAACCUGCACUGAGCAGACGAUCCCCAGCACUGGGCUUCAGGCUGCUUGGACCAUCCUCCUGUUGUCAGUUCUGACCCCCCUGAUUUGAGCCCUCCACAAGAACUUGACGAGUACUGUGCAGCUUCAAGAGGCUGAGGAACCAAGAGUAACUGAUUAUCAAAACAAUUAAUUUGAUAAGUAACACUUAUCUAAUUCUCCUAGCUUACUUAUCAAGCAAAUGGAAACAAGACAUUUUCCAUUAUCAGCCAUUGAGAAAUUGGGUCUUCCUUCACUCGUUCUAAACCUACAACUUAAGAAAGUCUUAUUACAAAAAGGCAGCAGGUGACACACAGUAACUCAUGCAAAACAAUGUCUCACCCAAUACUGAUUAUUUAUUUUAAGUUCACUGAUUUUGGAUGCCCCAGUUUUUAACCAGUCUUCUUGAUAUACCUUCUAUCUGAUUUCCAUAGAUGAUGUGGGAGAAGGUUCACAACAGCAUCAAAAGAACUUGCUAAUGCAACCAGAUAUAAAUCAAGGUUAUAUAAAAUUAGCAGGCAGUGAAACUGACAGUGACAGCAGCAACUCUGUAAGUAAAAUCUACUGGAAAUGCAGGGAAAAAAAGUUAUUUUUCUUGUGUCAUACAUUAAUUCUGAACAUAUAAUCUAGAACAAGAAAUACUUGUGAAAACUCAGCAUUAUAUUUAUAGAUUCUUUCCUGUUAAACAUUUUGAAACAACUAUUUUACAACAUUUUGAUCUACUGCCCGCUCAUAUUUCUUUUGCUCUACUGUAACUAAAAGUUAAUUUCCAUGAACUUUGGGGAGGAAAAGGUCAAUGUGUUGACAUAUUCAGCACACAAGAAGUAGAAUGGACACUAAAAUGAAGAAUAUCAGGAAGGAAAAACUUAGAAACAGGCUUAUGGAAAAGGGUCACAGAGACAAACGAAAGUUAUAUCUGAUGGAGAUAUGUCAAAAUACAUAAAGCAAAAUCAGCAGUUAGGAUGCCAUGUCCACUGAGGUCUUUCCAAUAGCUUAAAGUGCCAAAUGUAACCAGAAAGCUGAUAAUGACAAAAGCUUAUAUUACAAGACAGAAGUAACAAAAUCAUAGUAUAUUUAUGUAUAUCUAUAUCUAUCUAUCUAUCUACAUACAUACACACACACUAUCACAGAGCAGGGACAGGGCUCUGGGAAGGCCUUGCAUUACCAGCACCCUAGUUAGUAGGCCCUCGGGUGCAUCCUUCUGCAACUUCAGGAGACGCCCACAUCAGAAACAGAAAACAGUGACAAUUCACAGAGUAGGACAGGGUGGAGGGACAGAUCACCGUCAGCUCCAAAAGGACACGCUGAUGUACACCUACAGUACAGAACAGUCACCAUGUCGGGAGUCCAUAGGACAUAAGGACUUGCCAGCUGAUGUCCCUUGUCCUCUGCAAAAGAUCCCUGACUGCUAGACUGAGGGAGUAAACACUCCUGCCGUGCUCCCUUGGCUGUUGGACAGACAUCUCAGGCACUGCACACAUCCAGCUGUUAGUUAGAUUGCAAGACUAAGUCACUGUAACCUGUUUCUAUCUAAAAUAAAUUUACCUUCACCUCCUCCGAGGUUCCCAAGGAUAUUUCCUGUCUUUUUGGUACACUGCUAUUUCCUACACCAGUAAAUAAAAUAGGGAAGGCUGUUUCACAGCUGCAAUUUCUAUACACAUCAUAGUGAUGGAACAGAUAGGUCCUAUGGCUCUCUGAAUACUUUUUAAGCAAAGAAACAUCCUUAUUUGCAUGUCCCAUUUUAGGGAAACUGUAUGGGCCUCCCAUUCAGGUAACCACCAGCUCUGCUUUCAAACAUCAUUUCUCUUCUAGUUUUACAGAAUGAACGUGGGAGGCGUUGAGGAGAUACUCCAGACUCUUCACAGACUUGGUCAGAAGUUCAGCCUCAGUCAGCCCCUGAUUUUUGACAUCCCAAUGUGAGGUUACCUUUGUAAGAUGCACAGCUUGUGCACACAUCGCACAGGCUCACAGCACCACAAGCAAGACCGUAAAGCAGUGCACUUUGUCAGCAUGGCAUGCACUAGGGUAUCAAAAACUCUAAUUUCUUUUUGUAUGACUUCUGAGAGUUUUUCAGCAUUCAAAGCAAUUAAGAAUACAUAUUAAUCCAAAUGUAUUUAGUUACUGCCCAAAACUGUACAGCUUCACGUGAAGAAAGCUGACAGCUCACCACUGUUCUAGUUAUAGCAUAAAGAAAAAAGAUCUUUAUACAUUAUACGAUCAAGGCAAAUCACUUGGUGUAUUUCAAACAUUUCAUUUCAAACCAUUCAUACAUAGACAUGUCUAAGCAGGUAUUGCGCAGCAGCCCUAACACUAUGUUGCUCACAAGCUGCUCUUACUGUUACUAGGAGAAUGAUACAGCACAAGGCAUGUAAACGUGCCAUAGCACAUACACGGCGUUCCUUAGGAAAUGGUCUCAGAAGUAGCUACUGCUUUUAGAACUAGUUGCCAAAUCACACUUACAUUUCUUCCAAGCUAUUCCAUUGGUUACAAACAAAUUUCUUAUUAUCAGGUCACGCAAGAUGACACCCCACGUCUAUACAGGAUCUAAAACUUCUCAUUUAGCCACUUCAGUGGCUUUCGUUUGUUUGCUUUUUACUUUCACCUGAUGUUCACAUUGAAAAUGUAGCCACUUGGAACUCUGUAACAAACUACAUUUAAAUAACUAUUAUAAAACACAAAACAAGGAACUCUAUGCUAGUGACAGUGUCUGACUCGCAUACGCAGAGGACAGGAGGUUUUCAGCGGUAGCUUAACGGUGGUAAGGCCAGGCCCUUUUCCUUUGCCCACCUCCCCUGCAGCUGCCACCUGUGCCGCCCGGCUCCCAGCGAACCACGCUAUCGGUACAGUCUCGUCACGAAGUUACUUUGCCCCGUGGAUCGCUCCCGCGUUCCGACGCUGUCGGAUCACUCGGAGCCACCGCGUCCCGCCGUCCUGCGGCAGGAUGGCACGGAGCCACCGGACGGCAGCGUAACCGCCCGGCUCAGGCCCCCUG
ensembl:lncRNA